rnacentral:rRNA from 1 species
UGAGGAACAUGACCUUCGGCGGGGGAUAGCCGGCCCAACGGCCGGGUAAUACCGCGUACGACCACUUUGGGACAUCCCUGGGUGGUGAAAGCAGCAAUGCGCCGAUGGAGUGCCUCGCGGCCUAUCAGCUAGUUGGUGGGGUAACGCUCACCAAGGCAACGACGGGUAGCUGGUCUGAGAGGAUGGCCAGCCACAGUUGGGACUGAGACACGGCCCAGACCUCCGUACGGGAGG